AACAGGGCCGAAUCCACCCUCCCCAAGCUUGUGAUCAGAGUGAAAAUCUCUGGUUGCUGCAACUAGGGUUUCUAAACAAAAUUGGUUCUGUU